UUUUCUCUCACUAUCUACUUUAGCUAAAAACUGAAAAAGUGACUCUUUUUAACUGCCGCCCUCAUGGAGGCCGCCGCCGGCCGAUCGCCGCCGCGGCUGGCCGCCGAUCGACUCCACGUGGCCGUCGGCGGCGACGUGCGGCGGAGCAAGUCGACCCUGUCGCGGGCGUUGCGCAAUUUCGGCGGCGGCCUUCGCAUCCCCCGUGCGCAGCAGCCUCCCGAGGACGACGGCGAUCGCGACCCUCGCGACCCAUCUCUGAAUCAGUCAGAUGGUUUUGGCGUCAGGAAUUCUCAAGAAUUUGCGAGGCAGGAUACGUACAGGAUGAGAUGCUGGAUGAGUACAUUCAUAUUUGUUUCUGCAGAAAAAAAGAUAUAUCAAGAUGCAAGAUAAAGGGAAGGGGAUAGCACAACUUGUUGGAGAGCAUGCCACUGAGACACUAAUUACGGGAGCAGGAGCACACAGGUGCUAUUUUGUUGGGAUGGCACAACUUAAAUCCACAAGUGCAAAAUUUGUCAACCAGCAGGCCGAUCCAUCUUGUUAUAUUUUGUUCAUCUGCAAGCGACAGCUGAUUUAUGUCAGGGAAACAGAUGUAAACAAGUUCAAUACAGAUGUUCCC